GGGCCCGCACAAGCGGUGGAGCAUGUGGUUUAAUUCGAUGAUACGCGAGGAACCUUACCAGGACUUAAAUGUAAGUUGCAUGAUUCAGAAAUGAAUCUUUCUUCGGACUACUUACAAGGUGCUGCAUGGUUGUCGUCAGCUCGUGCCGUGAGGUGUCAGGUUAAGUCCUAUAACGAGCGCAACCCCUAUCGUUAGUUGCCAUCAAGUAAAGUUGGGAACUCUAGCGAAACUGCCGGUGCAAACCGAGAGGAAGGUGGGGAUGACGUCAAAUCAUCACGGCCCUUACGUUCUGGGCUACACACGUGCUACAAUGGUCGGUACAGAAAGCAGCCACUAUGCGAAUAGGAGCUAAUCUUUAAAACCGAUCUCAGUUCGGAUCGCAGUCUGCAACUCGACUGCGUGAAGCUGGAAUCGCUAGUAAUCGG
rnacentral:rRNA from 1 species